UCCAAACCCCGGGUUGACGUGUGAGCCUUGAGGAUAAUCUGUUCAUCUAAAGGAAAAAAAGAAAGGCUGUGCUUCCCUAUGGUUCGUGGCGUGGCUAGUUCGCUUGCUCUGAGGUUCCUCAAAGAAAGUGCUACUGAAGACCUGGAGGGAACAGCACCUGAGAACCAACUGCCAGCGAGAUGGACAGGCCCUUUUGACGUACUGCUAACCACACACUCAUCCGUCAGACUCGCUGGAGUGAAACCGUGGGUGCACCACUCUGGAAUAGAAGUGGCUCCAAUCCCACAGGAGAGUACACCUCUUGACAGACAAGUUGACUGGCCUCUUCUUGACUGGCAGCCUGGGAAGACAAUGCUUCGAUCCGCAUCACCCAGGCUAUGGCAUCCACGACCAGUGUCACAGACUGCUGGAUCUGCCAUCCCAAGCCCUCUUCCAAUCUUGGACGUGGGACCAUUUGGUGCAGCCUCUAAGGUGGUUUUAGAUAACAGAACAGCUCUGGAUUACCUCGUGCUGAACAAGGCGGUGUAUGCGUGGCGGCUGUCACCACCUGCUGCACCUGCGUCAAUACUUCUCAUGUGGAAGCCAGCAUUCAUCAAAUACGGGAACGAGCCCCUGGAUACAUGCCACUGUAGACCAUUAAAUCCCUUUUCUCUUGGAUCCAGGAAUGUAACGACCUCUGGGAAGAAAAUGCUAUGCUGGUAUCCAUCACUGGUGACAGGAGAAAGAGAUGAUAUGGUGUCUCAAGGUCUGCCACAGCAGAUGGUCGACAUUCCAAGACCCCUCCCUCCCUUUUAGCCCGUUUGCCUUAUAUAACGCCCUGAAGAUUUUGUAGUUUUGAGAUGGUUCUUUUGGACAUUAGUCCCCCAUCAUCUACCUUGCUGGCAAGCUGUAAUAAAG
rnacentral:lncRNA from 1 species